CCUACGGGAGGCUGCAGUGGGGAAUAUUGGACAAUGGGGGAAACCCUGAUCCAGCGCCGCCUCGUGCGUGAAGAAGUAUUUCGGUACGUAACGCUCUAUCAGCAGGAAAGAAAAUGACGGUACCUGACUAAGAAGCCCCGGCUAACUACGUGCCAGCAGCCGCGGGACUACGUAGGGGGCAAGCGUUAUCCGGAUUGACUGGGUGUAAAGGGCGCGUAGACGGCAGCGCAAGUCUGGAGUGAAAUGCCGGGGCUCAACCCCGGAACUGCUGUGGAAACUGUGAAGCUGGAGUGAAGGAGAGGUAAGCGGAAUGCCGGGUGUAGCGGUGAAAUGCGUAGAUAUCAGGAGGAACACCGGCGGCGAAGGCGGCUUACUGGACUGUAACUGACGUUGAGGCUCGAAGGCGUGGGGAGCAAACAGGAUUAGAUACCCCGGUAGUC
rnacentral:rRNA from 1 species